AACAUGCUUGGUGAACGACGGAUUUCACAAAAACCUAUCUGUCAGAACUGAGCAUGUGGAGACACGUUCGUUCAUCGAGCACAAAUGGAACUGGUUGCAGGUUUCUCAGUGUGUUUCCUAGUGCCAGUUUAAAUUUC